rnacentral:rRNA from 1 species
GACGAACGCUGGCGGCGUGCCUAAUACAUGCAAGUCGAACGCUGAAGGAGGAGCUUGCUUCUCUGGAUGAGUUGCGAACGGGUGAGUAACGCGUAGGUAACCUGCCUGGUAGCGGGGGAUAACUAUUGGAAACGAUAGCUAAUACCGCAUAAGAGUAGAUGUUGCAUGACAUUUGCUUAAAAGGUGCAAUUGCAUCACUACCAGAUGGACCUGCGUUGUAUUAGCUAGUUGGUGGGGUAACGGCUCACCAAGGCGACGAUACAUAGCCGACCUGAGAGGGUGAUCGGCCACACUGGGACUGAGACACGGCCCAGACUCCUACGGGAGGCAGCAGUAGGGAAUCUUCGGCAAUGGACGGAAGUCUGACCGAGCAACGCCGCGUGAGUGAAGAAGGUUGUCGGAUCGUAAAGCUCUGUUGUAAGAGAAGAACGAGUGUGAGAGUGGAAAGUUCACACUGUGACGGUAGCUUACCAGAAAGGGACGGCUAACUACGUG